GUCCGCUUAGCUCAGCUGGUAGAGCACUCGACCGAUAAUCGAGAGGUCUCUGGUUCGAACCCAGAAGUGGACACCA
rnacentral:tRNA from 1 species